UUAGCUCUCUUUGCCUUUUGGCUUAGAUCAAGUGUAGUAUCUGUUCUUUUCAGUUUAAUCUCUGGAACGCCUCUACGGAGGCACCUUAUGAUUAUUCCUAUUUUUGGUUCCCGGGCGGCUUCCUCUGUGCUUGCACACGAUGCCACCCACUGUGUCCCUGGUAUUACACUGCCUCCAGGUGACGCGAACUACU
rnacentral:snRNA from 1 species